ACGCUCGACACCUACGGGAGGCAGCAGUGAGGAAUAUUGGUCAAUGGGCGCUAGCCUGAACCAGCCAAGUAGCGUGAAGGAUGAAGGCUCUAUGGGUCGUAAACUUCUUUUAUAUAAGAAUAAAGUGCAGUAUGUAUACUGUUUUGUAUGUAUUAUAUGAAUAAGGAUCGGCUAACUCCGUGCCAGCAGCCGGGUAAUCUGAGCGGGCUGGCAAGGC
rnacentral:rRNA from 1 species